UCACUGGAAAAAUUUUAGAGUAUCGCAUUUGUUUUCCGCGCGCCGCCGCCUGCCGCGGCCACCGGUGAUUGGGGCGCUCGUGUCACGUGACCUUUUGCCGCCAUAUUUCUUCCAAGCCCUUUCAGUUGGCACGUCGAACCCGUAGCGUACGCACCGCGCACGGAGAGCACUUCGCCGUUUCGUUCAACGCUUCCGUUGCGCUUGCGAACACAGGCGUCAGAAAUAAUCCAUCAUCAUGCCUGGUUGCUGCGCCUUCGGGUGUAGCAACCGAACGGAGUCCGGGAAGGCAUUUUUCUCUAUUCCGUGCGGGAAGGACGACGGUGAACGACGUUCUGCGUGGCUCCACAGAAUUGGCCGCAAAAACUUCGCGCCCUCGAAGAACACCCGCUUGUGCGAGGACCAUUUCAUUCCUGAUGAUUUUGAGAAACCAAGAGUCGAUGGUAAAAAGAAGUUGAAGUGGAAGGCAAUACCAAGCAUUUUUGCACAUCGGCCGCAGAAAAAUCCCAGAAAGCCACCAUUUCCUAGACUCCAAUACUCGCUGCAAGCAAGCACUGUCUCGCAACCAGACUGCCGCCAGCCGACAACUGAUAUCCUGGGAGAUGCAGUUGAGGCACCACAGCCAACAGGGAGCCAAGGAGCAUCUGAGGUCCCAGAAGACACUCCAGGUACCCAGGGAGCACCUGACUUCCUAGGAGAGACUGACAGCUCUGCUGUGAUUGGAAAUCCAGCAAUGGAAUGCACCACAGCAGGUACUGUGUGUAUUAUGCAGUUACGCAAAUUCACAGUAUAUUUGAAAACAUAAAUUCUAGUCUGAAAUCCUCUGGAUUGCAUUUAUUGAAUUGUGAUCAAGUAAUAAGCAUUGCCUGAAUGUAAAAUGCGAUCAAUUAAAGGGAACACUCUUGUAUGUGGCCUUCACUUUGCUGACACUCUUGCUACAAGUGGUGAAUAAAGCUAUCGCUUGUUUACCUACAGCAUGAUCAAAACAGACAGGACAGUAAGUGAAGGAUUAGACGAGCACUGUGGCGAAUUGUUACGGCAUUGUGGCUCUCUUUUUCAUGUCUGAGAAAAUUGUCCAGGCUGUGCAGUCACGCGCAGAGGCCUCAAGUUCAGUAUUACACAGUGCUUGCAAGAACAGACACAGGUAGAGAUUAGUGCCGUGCGGUGACCAUGUUUGCGAAAUUUCGCUGUCAUGCGAAUUUUGCACUUCGGCUAGACUGGUUGAUGUAUCAACAAAAAAUUGCGGGAACCUUUUUUCUAGGUUGAAGAACCAAUUUGGUUUUACAUUGCUCAUGUACACCUGUUUUUUGUUACAUCUGGUUUGGAGGAACAAAAACGAAAAAGCCCACAUCAUAGAGGAGGCAUACCAGAUUGAAAAACGUUCUUGUUCAUAGUGUUAUUCAAUCGUGUCUAGCGGUUUUUUGGGUGGCACUUUCAAUGUUAUUGGUUUGUGCAUAUCUGAGUGUUUUCUAUUUAUAUGUGAUUUACUCGCAAUAAAUAUUCUGCGUGAGUAAAAACAUAGGUAAAUGUAGUUGCAUAGAUUCACCCAACUAGCAACAGCAAAAGCAGCAAACUGCACAUUUAUGGAGAAAGGCGCCACUUCCAUCAGCCACAAGUCAUCUGCUGCAAAGCCGAUUUUAGGCUUUCCAGAUGAAAAAAUUCACCUGUGCUUUACAUUCACGUGUUCACUUAUGUCUACUAGCAGGUGUGUCAUGUAUUUUAUCUGGAUCACUGCGUUCAGCAGAGCUCUUAUUUAUGCCGUUAAUUUAUCCCCUUCACCGUCAACUUCAAGAUUUUGCACAAUAUCUUGUAACCUGUCUUUACACAAUCUUUGCUUCUUGGGCCAAUCCAUCCUGACAUCGUCUCAUUUGCAGUGUUUCUGUCACGUUCGAGAACAUACCAACAAGCCCAACUCAAUGUUUCUCGAUGCUCUUUUUUCUUCAGUGUUUUAGAGCCAAACUGCGUAUUUUAAGCAUUCACCAAAUCGCCCAUAGAUUCAACCUUAUCUUAAAUGCAACUUCGAACACCACCUAUUAUCAUAGUUCCACACAUUCAUUUUAAAUCCUUAUUUCAGAUUCUCGAAAGAUUUUAUUGUUGGAAUUAUUUGCUAAAUAAUGCAUUAAAUCAAUUUUGCAGCAGAAGAUGACCCAAUGGAUGAGGUUCUAGUGUUAAAACGCCAACUCAACCUGGAACAAAAAAAAACGAGCGAAGGCUGAAGAAGAAUGUAGAAACCUGCGACAGUCCUUCGACAAGAUUUUUGCAGAAGAUCAACUGCGUUAUUUGCAAAAAGGGACAAUGAGGGGAUCUGCGUGGACUGACAAAACAAUUCAGGAGUCGUUAAAAGUGCGACUCGCCUGCGGAUCGAGAGGUUACGAGUACCUCCGCGACAAUGGAUGGCCACUGCCUGCAGAGAGAACGCUCCAAAAGAACAUCGAGAACAUCAAGUUUUCGCCAGGUAUUCUUGAAGACAUAUUUCCUGCACUUGCGGCAAAAGUUUCAACAUUCAAAUCAGAAGACCGGUAUGCUGUUGUCAUGCUUGACGAAAUGCAACUUACCCCAGGGCUUGACUACGAUUGUACUACAAAUUCUAUCAUCGGAUAUCCUACAGUAACAUCAUCGGACCCGAGUGCAGCAGCAGGAUUUGCAACACAUGCCCUUGUGUUUAUGCUUGGGGGAAUUACGUCCAGGUGGAAACAGACAGUGGCAUACCAUUUCUCUGGUAAGUAAUGCAUCACUACAUCAUUUCUGGAAUGCACAACAUACUUAAGAGGCCCCCUGAAACACUUUUUGAACAUAGUGAGAAAAUGUUGCCGAUUGGCCAUAGAGGCUGCUAUGAACAUGAGCCUAAUAUUACUGCACUGCAUGCAGCAGAAAAUUUGCCAUCUCGUGUCAAACACGGUGAUAAAUCGCUUUCCCUCGCUUCCGCAAUGCCGUCACAUCAAAACCAGUUAGCCGACCAAUGCUAUUGGCUGAAAAGCAUUCUCAGUAAUACGUAAUUGCCAAUUCUGAGUUAAAUAAAUGAAAUGUAUAUGUUUGUAAUCUCAACAACACCGGAAAAUCAUUUCAUCUUUGCCCUGUGCGUAGCUGCGUCUGCUGCGCGUGGCCUUUGCGAUGUUAGCAGCAGC